UUUGAGAGUUUGAUCCUGGCUCAGGAUGAACGUUGGCGGCGUGCCUUAAGCAUGCAAAUCAAGGGGGGUACUGAGAGCAAUCGAAGUAUCAACCGGUGGACGGGUGAGUAAUACGUGGGAAUCUACCUGAAAGUGGGAUAUAGCCAGCCGAAAGGUUGGGUAAUCUCCCAUGUGAUCGCAAGAUCAAAGCCGCAAGGCGCUUUUAGAUGAGCCUGCGUCCUAUCAGCUAGUUGGUGGGGUAAUAGCCUACCAAGGCGACGACGGGUAGCUGGACUGAGAGGUCGGUCAGCCACAAUGGGACUGCGACACGGCCCAUACACCUACGGGUGGCAGCAACUAGGAAUAUUCGACAAUGGGCGAAAGCCUGAUCGAGCGACGCCGCGUGGAGGAUGAAGGCCCUCGGGUUGUAAACUCCUUUUAUCUGGGAAGAUUAUGACGGUACCAGAUGAA
rnacentral:rRNA from 1 species